AUUGAACGCUGGCGGCAGGCCUAACACAUGCAAGUCGAGCGGAUGAAGGGAGCUUGCUCCUGGAUUCAGCGGCGGACGGGUGAGUAAUGCCUAGGAAUCUGCCUGGUAGUGGGGGAUAACGUCCGGAAACGGGCGCUAAUACCGCAUACGUCCUGAGGGAGAAAGUGGGGGAUCUUCGGACCUCACGCUAUCAGAUGAGCCUAGGUCGGAUUAGCUAGUUGGUGGGGUAAAGGCCUACCAAGGCGACGAUCCGUAACUGGUCUGAGGGGAUGAUCAGUCACACUGGAACUGAGACACGGUCCAGACUCCUACGGGAGGCAGCAGUGGGGAAUAUUGGACAAUGGGCGAAAGCCUGAUCCAGCCAUGCCGCGUGUGUGAAGAAGGUCUUCGGAUUGUAAAGCACUUUAAGUUGGGAGGAAGGGCAGUAAGUUAAUACCUUGCUGUUUUGACGUUACCAACAAAAUAAGCACCGGCUAACUUCGUG
rnacentral:rRNA from 1 species